GACGGAGGGUGCUAGCGUUGUUCGGAAUUACUGGGCGUAAAGGGCGCGUAGGCGGCCUGGUCAGUCGGAUGUGAAAGCCCGGGGCUCAACCCCGGAACGGCAUCCGAGACGGCCAGGCUGGAGAUCGGGAGAGGAGAGUGGAAUUUCCGGUGUAGCGGUGAAAUGCGUAGAUAUCGGAAGGAACAUCAGUGGCGAAAGCGACUUCCUGGACCAAUACUGACGCUCAUGUGCGAAAGCGUGGGGAGCAAACAGG
rnacentral:rRNA from 1 species